UACGUAGGGUGCGAGCGUUAAUCGGAAUUACUGGGCGUAAAGCGUGCGCAGGCGGUUCGUUGUGUCGGUGGUGAAAUCCCCGGGCUUAACCUGGGAAUGGCAUUGGAAACUGGCGGACUCGAGUGUGGCAGAGGGGGGUGGAAUUCCGCGUGUAGCAGUGAAAUGCGUAGAGAUGCGGCGGAACACCGAUGGCGAAGGCAGCCCCCUGGGCUUAAAUUGACGCUGAGGCACGAAAGCGUGGGGAGCAAACAGG
rnacentral:rRNA from 1 species